rnacentral:rRNA from 1 species
ACCCCUACGGGGGGCAGCAGCGGGGAAUUUUGCGCAAUGGGCGGAAGCCUGACGCAGCGACGCCGCGUGAGGGAAGGAGUCCUUCGGGAUGUAAACCUCUGUUGAUGGGGAGAAGCAGGAGAUAGUACCCAUUGAGGAAGCCACGGCUAACUACGUGCCAGCAGCCGCGGUAA